AUUGAACGCUGGCGGCAGGCCUAACACAUGCAAGUCGAACGAGUGGCGGACGGGUGAGUAAUGUCUGGGAAACUGCCUGAUGGAGGGGGAUAACUACUGGAAACGGUAGCUAAUACCGCAUACCAUCAGAUGUGCCCAGAUGGGAUUAGCUAGUUGGUGGGGUAACGGCUCACCAAGGCGACGAUCCCUAGCUGGUCUGAGAGGAUGACAAGCCACACUGGAACUGAGACACGGUGCAGACGCGUACGGGAGGCAGCAGUGGGGAAUAUUGCAAAAUGGGCGCAAGACUGAUGAAGACAUGCGGCGUGGAUGGAGAAGGCCUUCUGGAUGUAAAGUACGGUCAGCGGGGAGGCGUUACCCGAAGAAGAAGUACCGGCGAACUCCGUGCCAGCAGCCGCGGGAAUAC
rnacentral:rRNA from 1 species